GCACCAAUGGUUCAGGGGUAGAAUACAUGCUUCCCAAGCAUGUGAUCCGAGUUCGAGUCUCGGUUGGUGCA